CCUACGGGUGGCAGCAGUGGGGAAUAUUGGACAAUGGGCGAAAGCCUGAUCCAGCCAUGCCGCGUGUGUGAAGAAGGCCUUCGGGUUGUAAAGCACUUUCAGUGGGGAAGAAAGCCUUGGGGCUAAUACCCUCGAGGAAGGACAUCACCCACAGAAGAAGCACCGGCUAACUCCGUGCCAGCAGCCGCGGUAAUACGGAGGGUGCGAGCGUUAAUCGGAAUUACUGGGCGUAAAGCGCGCGUAGGCGGUCUGAUAAGCCGGUUGUGAAAGCCCCGGGCUCAACCUGGGAACGGCAUUCGGAACUGUCAGGCUAGAGUGCAGGAGAGGAAGGUAGAAUUCCCGGUGUAGCGGUGAAAUGCGUAGAGAUCGGGAGGAAUACCAGUGGCGAAGGCGGCCUUCUGGACUGACACUGACGCUGAGGUGCGAAAGCGUGGGUAGCAAACAGGAUUAGAUACCCUUGUAGUC
rnacentral:rRNA from 1 species